GGGUUGUGAGGUUAAGCGACUAAGCGUACACGGUGGAUGCCCUGGCAGUCAGAGGCGAUGAAGGGCGUGCUAAUCUGCGAUAAGCGCCGGUAAGGUGAUAUGAACCGUUAUAACCGGCGAUACCCGAAUGGGGAAACCCAGUGUGACUCGUCACACUAUCAUUAACUGAAUCCAUAGGUUAAUGAGGCGAACCGGGGGAACUGAAACAUCUAAGUACCCCGAGGAAAAGAAAUCAACCGAGAUUCCCCCAGUAGCGGCGAGCGAACGGGGAGGAGCCCAGAGCCUGAAUCAGCAUGUGUGUUAGUGGAAGCGUCUGGAAAGGCGCGCGAUACAGGGUGACAGCCCCGUACACAAAAGCGCAUGUGCUGUGAGCUCGAUGAGUAGGGCGGGACACGUGGUAUCCUGUCUGAAUAUGGGGGGACCAUCCUCCAAGGCUAAAUACUCCUGACUGACCGAUAGUGAACCAGUACCGUGAGGGAAAGGCGAAAAGAACCCCGGCGAGGGGAGUGAAAAAGAACCUGAAACCGUGUACGUACAAGCAGUGGGAGCNNGUGACUGCGUACCUUUUGUAUAAUGGGUCAGCGACUUAUAUUCUGUAGCAAGGUUAACCGCAUAGGGGAGCCGGAGGGAAACCGAGUCUUAAUUGGGCGUUAAGUUGCAGGGUAUAGACCCGAAACCCGGUGAUCUAGCCAUGGGCAGGUUGAAGGUUGGGUAACACUAACUGGAGGACCGAACCGACUAAUGUUGAAAAAUUAGCGGAUGACCUGUGGCUGGGGGUGAAAGGCCAAUCAAACCGGGAGAUAGCUGGUUCUCCCCGAAAGCUAUUUAGGUAGCGCCUCGUGAAUUCAUCUCCGGGGGUAGAGCACUGUUUCGGCUAGGGGGCCAUCCCGGCUUACCAACCCGAUGCAAACUGCGAAUACCGGAGAAUGUUAUCACGGGAGACACACGGCGGGUGCUAACGUCCGUCGUGAAGAGGGAAACAACCCAGACCGCCAGCUAAGGUCCCAAAGUCAUGGUUAAGUGGGAAACGAUGUGGGAAGGCCCAGACAGCCAGGAUGUUGGCUUAGAAGCAGCCAUCAUUUAAAGAAAGCGUAAUAGCUCACUGGUCGAGUCGGCCUGCGCGGAAGAUGUAACGGGGCUAAACCAUGCACCGAAGCUGCGGCAGCGANNGUUGGGUAGGGGAGCGUUCUGUAAGCCUGUGAAGGUGGCCUGUGAGGGUUGCUGGAGGUAUCAGAAGUGCGAAUGCUGACAUAAGUAACGAUAAAGCGGGUGAAAAGCCCGCUCGCCGGAAGACCAAGGGUUCCUGUCCAACGUUAAUCGGGGCAGGGUGAGUCGACCCCUAAGGCGAGGCCGAAAGGCGUAGUCGAUGGGAAACGGGUUAAUAUUCCCGUACUUGGUGUUACUGCGAAGGGGGGACGGAGAAGGCUAUGUUGGCCGGGCGACGGUUGUCCCGGUUUAAGCGUGUAGGUGUGUGUUCCAGGUAAAUCCGGUUCACUUUAACACUGAGGCGUGAUGACGAGGCACUACGGUGCUGAAGCAACAAAUGCCCUGCUUCCAGGAAAAGCCUCUAAGCAUCAGGUAACAUCAAAUCGUACCCCAAACCGACACAGGUGGUCAGGUAGAGAAUACCAAGGCGCUUGAGAGAACUCGGGUGAAGGAACUAGGCAAAAUGGUGCCGUAACUUCGGGAGAAGGCACGCUGACAUGUAGGUGAAGUGAUUUACUCACGGAGCUGAAGUCAGUCGAAGAUACCAGCUGGCUGCAACUGUUUAUUAAAAACACAGCACUGUGCAAACACGAAAGUGGACGUAUACGGUGUGACGCCUGCCCGGUGCCGGAAGGUUAAUUGAUGGGGUCAGCGCAAGCGAAGCUCCUGAUCGAAGCCCCGGUAAACGGCGGCCGUAACUAUAACGGUCCUAAGGUAGCGAAAUUCCUUGUCGGGUAAGUUCCGACCUGCACGAAUGGCGUAAUGAUGGCCAGGCUGUCUCCACCCGAGACUCAGUGAAAUUGAACUCGCUGUGAAGAUGCAGUGUACCCGCGGCAAGACGGAAAGACCCCGUGAACCUUUACUAUAGCUUGACACUGAACAUUGAGCCUUGAUGUGUAGGAUAGGUGGGAGGCUUUGAAGUGUGGACGCCAGUCUGCAUGGAGCCGACCUUGAAAUACCACCCUUUAAUGUUUGAUGUUCUAACGUGGACCCGUUACCCGGGUUGCGGACAGUGUCUGGUGGGUAGUUUGACUGGGGCGGUCUCCUCCUAAAGAGUAACGGAGGAGCACGAAGGUUGGCUAAUCCUGGUCGGACAUCAGGAGGUUAGUGCAAUGGCAUAAGCCAGCUUGACUGCGAGCGUGACGGCGCGAGCAGGUGCGAAAGCAGGUCAUAGUGAUCCGGUGGUUCUGAAUGGAAGGGCCAUCGCUCAACGGAUAAAAGGUACUCCGGGGAUAACAGGCUGAUACCGCCCAAGAGUUCAUAUCGACGGCGGUGUUUGGCACCUCGAUGUCGGCUCAUCACAUCCUGGGGCUGAAGUAGGUCCCAAGGGUAUGGCUGUUCGCCAUUUAAAGUGGUACGCGAGCUGGGUUUAGAACGUCGUGAGACAGUUCGGUCCCUAUCUGCCGUGGGCGCUGGAGAACUGAGGGGGGCUGCUCCUAGUACGAGAGGACCGGAGUGGACGCAUCACUGGUGUUCGGGUUGUCAUGCCAAUGGCACUGCCCGGUAGCUAAAUGCGGAAGAGAUAAGUGCUGAAAGCAUCUAAGCACGAAACUUGCCCCGAGAUGAGUUCUCCCUGAGACUU
rnacentral:rRNA from 1 species